CACGGCGCUUCCUCCUGCGAGGAGCGGGCGCCUGAAGCCGGUUCCCAUGCUCCGGUGGGGCCGGAGCACCGCGCGCUCGGCCGCCCGGGCUCGGCUCGCUGCGCGUGGCAGGAGGAGGCCGUCGCUCCUCCCCGAGCCCCGCGGUCCCGCAAAACAAACACCGCCCGAGCCCAAUAAUGACCGGGCUGCCUUAAUGAGCUGUUCCGGGUCAUCAUCAGCCAAGAAACAAUCCCGCGUAAAUGGGGCCAGCAUCGCCAUCGGAGCCCCACGCAGUCAUCAAGGACAGGUGGAGGGCGCAGUCCUGCAACUGCUCACUCGCGCCACUCCUGGCAGAUGGCCCCUCCACGAGAGGGAGCUCAACAAGACUGCCACACUCUAAGUGUUGGAUGAAGACCUCACUGCCCCCAGUGUUGGAUGAAGACCUCACUGCCCCCGCCAGUGACAUCUCUCAUAGCCCUGCGAUGUCACAGUCCAUCUCACCUCCGCGCAGGACGCGAUCUCGUCUCUGCGUUUCAGUUCCAGUCGUCCUCUCGGGCGCGUUUCCCCACUUCGGCUGCCAUUCCGUCAGUCGCCACUCUCGGCCGCUGUGCUCAUCCGUCCCUUCUCCGCGUCUUGCACAAAAGCCCGCUCGGCUUUCUUGAGAGUUCUCUGAUGCCAACACGCACUCCUCUGCCUCUCAGUUUAAUUCUCAGCGUAACAAAGAAAUAUGAGUAUAGGGAGCAUGGCACGUCUCGCAUUUCAGCGUGAGACGUGCCAUCGCCCGCCAGCUUCGUGCUCGCUCGGAGUCAACGGAUCUCCGGUUUGGCUUGGUGCAACGAAGAGAUCUCUCCCCAAAACCGCGAAUCACUAUGGACCUUGUGGUUACAUUUUUGCAGUCGUUUGUUUGUUUACACUGGAAAACACGCCGAGCGUGUUGACUGUUUUGACAUUAAAAUAAUUGUUUGGGGUUUUCCCCGUGUUUCGUAAUGGAGCUUGCCAAGGAGCAGAUUGACCUCGUGAAACAAAAAUCCGUCCCAGGUAGAAAUGAGACCGCGAUGGCCUAUCGUUCAUGAAAACUGAUGUUGCGUGAAAUUUUGAUAUUUGAAGUCAGCCCUCUGGAAGAGAGGCCUAGUCAACUUCAUCGAUGUGCGUCUGUGUGUUCACUCGAGUAUGUAAACUCGACUCGAAACGUUCCGUAUCGUAUAUUCUUGGAUUCGUAGAUUUUGGGGGCUAGCCCACAGAAUGAUCAAACCAAAUUAGGUUGUGACACCCUCCACCACUUCACACAGACAAACGAUAUUGAUUAUCAUGCAUACGAGCGAUUAGCACACCAAUUAUUAUUGUUGUUGGUCGGCUCCCACUGGGAAGUUGAAGAGCUCCCACAGCCCCAAAGUUAGCGAUUGGAUUCGUGACAUUUCACUUGAAACCAUGCCAGGAAUUCUCAGCGGAGAGACCAGGAAGUCAUUCUGACUCACCGGUGAGCUCACACAAUUUCAAUGGUCACUCCCACGUGACCAAUGAAAUUGUUUGGCCGUGACGGGCGCUAGAGGGUCCCGUGACCAAAGAUUUGGCUGCACCAUUUGGUGGCCUCCCCCCAAAACACCCGGACGAUGAAUCGUGAUGGUGGCUACAACAAUGCGCGCUGAGUUUUACAUCCUUUGUUUGUAACCUGUAACCUCCCUUGCAACAGAGGCGCUUCUCUCAGGCUGUCACCAUCCAGAAGGUAAAGGUCACGUGUGUGCGGUCAUCCGUAUGUUUUGGACUCGACUUGUCAUUUUCUCACUCGUUAUGCGACUUUGCGGCCAACUGAAAUGAAGCUCUUGCGUUUGCUGUCAGAGGUAGAUACAAAAGCCCAUUCAACCGCUCGACCUUACGCCCGCUGCAUCCAAUUUACUCGGCCUUCUCGCUCCAUCUCCUUGUCCCGUCGAAACGAGACAGACAUCAACAAUGUCAAGCGACGAUGGCUGUCUGCCGGGCCACGCCAUGGCCACGUGAGGGGGAGGUGACACGCGCAGACUGAGACGGUGCCGCAUCAGCGUGCCAAGUUGCCCACAGCCACACACCGGUCCGGCAAACGCUUGACAGCCUGGGUAGCUACUGCUCAUGGUACGCGUGUGAUUCAAGGGUUGUGUGGAGGUGCAAUGCGGUCCUAUAUCUGAGUAGGUGCAGUUAUCGCAGGCUGGUGCGUGACAAAGUUACACUGUGUGUAACGUUGCCAAACAGAGGUGACCGAGUUCGUAACCAGAGUGACCCAACUCGUUUCGCAGGUGAACUCCCGUACACGAGGUCGGGGAGAAUGCCGGCUGGUUCUAUGAGGCAGAUCCACAUCUCGAGAGAUGCAAAAUGAUGCAAUACGUGUCACCACUUUCAGUCCUGUGGUCUCGAGUGCCCCGACUGUGAAUUUACGGAACUGCGAAUACCACGGGGAAAAGACUGAAUAAAGAAUUUAACGAACCUUAAGAAUACAACAACAAAAACAUUUUUUUAUUAACUUCUGAAUUAUAGAAUAUUACAUUAGUCUCUUGAUUACAACAAUAUUUGGCCAUUAUUUACGUGUAAUUAUAUUGCAAUAUGAUAUAUGUUUGUAUUAUUUGCGGCUGUGUUGCACACGGACUCAAACACAGCGACUCGACUGGACCCACGACUGUCGAGAAGAGAGUCCUGGACAUGUUCACUUUUUAUUCAACUGCCACCCCACCACGGGUAAGGUGCCGUCCAUAAAUGACGUCACGCGAUUUUGGGCGAUUUUUGACCCCCCCCCCCCCCCUUGUCACACGGCGUCACAAAAAGUCAGACCCCCCUCAAAUAUGACGUCACAACGGUCUUUCCUCCCCACGCAAAACCGUAUUUCCAUUUUGAAAAUAAAACAUGCUUCAAAUCGCUUUAAACUGUUGUCAUUGUAGUGCGUAGAUCAUG